UACGUAGGGUGCAAGCGUUGUCCGGAAUUAUUGGGCGUAAAGAGCUCGUAGGCGGUUUGUCGCGUCGAAUGUGAAAACCCGGGGCUCAACCCCGGGCCUGCAUUCGAUACGGGCAGACUAGAGUUCGGUAGGGGAGUCUGGAAUUCCUGGUGUAGCGGUGAAAUGCGCAGAUAUCAGGAGGAACACCGGUGGCGAAGGCGGGACUCUGGGCCGAUACUGACGCUGAGGAGCGAAAGCGUGCGGAGCGAACAGG
rnacentral:rRNA from 1 species